UACGGCGGGUGCAAGCGUUGUCCGGAAUCACUGGGCGUAAAGCGCACGUAGGCGGCUUUGCAAGUUAGAGGUGAAAGCCCGGGGCUCAACUCCGGAAUUGCCUUUAAAACUGCAUCGCUAGAAUUGUGGAGAGGUAAGUGGAAUUCCGAGUGUAGAGGUGAAAUUCGUAGAUAUUCGGAAGAACACCAGUGGCGAAGGCGACUUACUGGACACAUAUUGACGCUGAGGUGCGAAAGCGUGGGGAGCAAACAGG
rnacentral:rRNA from 1 species